rnacentral:lncRNA from 1 species
CACACUUAUCUACAAACAGUCUUCAGAGAGGUGAUCGGAUGGAAGAUAUUAACAUGAUUCUGGAGUCUGCUAGGAGCUGCUCUGACUGGUGGCUACUGAGAUACCAGUGACGGGAAGGUGCUACAUCGUUAACAACAGUGCCUUUCAAAAAUGAUGAACUAUAAUCUACUGAAAACACAAGGACAAACCCUACUGUGAAGCAGUGGAGACUGGAGUCCUGCAUUUGCUGAACUUUCUUUUUAUGUGUUGGAUUCUGAUUUUAUAUUCAUUUCCAUUCAUGUGGACUCUGAAGAGUUAAACUCACUAAGGACACUUGAAGAAGUCACGUCCAGGGAUCACUGUCAUCACAGAUGGAGAAAAGGCCAAUGUCUUUCCAUGCUGCCUCACCAGAAAAGGACUGAGUUGGUACAGACCUUCAUUCCAGCUUAAUGUCCAUGACCUCAUCACACUCCAGGCCCAGGCUUGAGCUACAUGUUCUAGAAAGCCCUUAACUUCUCUAGGUCUCAAGUCUAAUCUCUGCAUCUGCGCCAGGUUCCCUGAGACUACUCUAAAGCUUGAUGAUUCACUAGGAUUCACAGGACUCAGAAAAGCUUACUUUUCUGAAUUAGAUGUACUGUUCUGAUAUAUUACAGCAAAAGGAUAUGAGUUCAAAUCAGAAUAAAAUAAAAGGUACAUGGGGCAGAGUCCAGGAGAAACCA